rnacentral:rRNA from 1 species
UACGGGGGGAGCAAGCGUUGUUCGGAUUUACUGGGCGUAAAGGGCGCGUAGGCGGCCAGCACAAGUCAGCUGUGAAAUCUCCGAGCUUAACUCGGAAAGGUCAACUGAUACUGUGCGGCUAGAGUGCGGAAGGGGCAACUGGAAUUCUUGGUGUAGCGGUGAAAUGCGUAGAUAUCAAGAGGAACACCUGCGGCGAAGGCGGGUUGCUGGGCCGACACUGACGCUGAGGCGCGAAAGCCAGGGGAGCGAACGGG